UAUAUAAUAGUAACCUACAAAAUUAUGACAAAUGAAAUUAUGAGUUCUCUCCCACCCUUCCUUGUUUUUUACAGGGUGUACAGAUUCCAGACAUCGAAUGGGAAGACAGCGGGCUUCCUCUGCAGGAUGUGUUAAGUGUCACUGUGCCGAACUCUAAUUUGCAACUGACUGAUGAACAAAUGUCAGCUUUAAGGGAUGCAGUCAACCCCAGAGCCACAUCUCAUUCUUUUGGCUGUGAAAUUUACAUUGCUGCAGUUCAGUUUUGUGAAGUUUUUUAUCCUUUAAAAGUUGCUCCUGCAGGAACCACUUCCUGGAAGUCAACACGCCAGCAGUACCCGAGGAAGUGGUGCGCCACCCUUGCCAGAUGAAGAGCGGGAUCGGCAGUGUUUGGUGGGUGACAGAGGAGAUGACCUGGCCCUUCAGGGCCGUGAAGUUUUACGGAGAUGGGAGUGGCUGGGGGCACAAAUCCACCCGUGUGGUUCGUUGUUCUAGAGGUGGCCUGUGUAGAAACUCAACGGUUCAUUCUUGUUUAGGGUGGCAGCCAAGUGAUCAUUGACUUAUGAAGUCAUUUGCUCGUCUGUGUUGGUUGUUGUUCUUUGGAAACACUUCUCAAGGAGAGCCUCACUGAAAGAGGUCCCGGGGUUGAAAUUCACAACGAGCUCUCUUUGAAAAUGUCAACAGCCAGGAAUCCUUUGCCGUCGUCCCACAGUGGCCAGUAUGACAACAUGCCGUCACGAUCAACCACAACUGCCUUGUGACUGAC